rnacentral:sRNA from 1 species
AAUACGAAACUAAAACCGUAGACAGCGGGUGCGAAAGCUUAAUUUCCCGCCGAGGUACAAUAUAAAAUAUUGACCUUGUCUGUCUAUGCGGACAAGGUUUUUUUAUG